rnacentral:rRNA from 1 species
UACGUAGGGGGCAAGCGUUGUCCGGAUUUAUUGGGCGUAAAGAGCGUGUAGGCGGCUUUACAGGUCCGUUGUGAAAACUCGAGGCUCAACCUCGAGACGCCGGUGGAAACCGUAAAGCUAGAGUCCGGAAGAGGAGAGUGGAAUUCCUGGUGUAGCGGUGAAAUGCGCAGAUAUCAGGAGGAACACCGGUGGCGAAGGCGGAUCUCCGGGCCUUACCUGACGCUCAGGCGCGAAAGCUAGGGGAGCGAACUGG